rnacentral:misc_RNA from 1 species
CGUAACCGACCUGACCGUGCAAUUCCGGCUCGUAGAAACGCUCGAUGCCGGUUUUGCCGAUGU